CGACCUCAGAUCAGACGUGGCGACCCGCUGAAUUUAAGCAUAUUAGUCAGCGGAGGAAAAGAAACUAACGAGGAUUCCCUCAGUAACGGCGAGUGAAGAGGGAAGAGCCCAGCGCCGAAUCCCCGCC
rnacentral:ncRNA from 1 species